rnacentral:rRNA from 1 species
UACGUAGGGGGCAAGCGUUGUCCGGAAUUAUUGGGCGUAAAGAGCGCGUAGGCGGCUAGAUAAGUCCGCUGUGAAAUCUCGAGGCUCAACUUCGAGCUGUCGGUGGAAACUAUCUGGCUAGAGUUCGGAAGAGGAGAAUGGAAUUCCUGGUGUAGCGGUGAAAUGCGCAGAUAUCAGGAAGAACACCCGUGGCGAAGGCGGUUCUCUGGGACGGUACUGACGCUGAGACGCGAAAGCGUGGGGAGCGAACAGG